rnacentral:rRNA from 1 species
AAAAUUAAAUUUGAUUUUAAAAAAAUUUAAUUUUUAAACUAGGAUUAGAUACCCUAUUAUUUUAAGCUUAAUGUUGGUAGUAAGUAAAAAUUAUGAAAUCAUAAAAUUUUGGCGGUAUUUUAAGCUUGUUAGAGGAAUUUGCUCUAUAAUGGAUACAACGCCUAUAUCUUACUUAAUUUUGUAAUUAAAGUCAGUUUGUAUACCACUAUAUUUAAUUAUAUUGAAUAAUUAUAUUUAAGAUUUUUAUACAAAUAUAUAUUAAGUCAAGGUGCAACAAAUAAUUA